rnacentral:rRNA from 1 species
AUUCCAGCUCCAAUAGCGUAUAUUAAAGUUGCUGCAGUUAAAAAGCUCGUAGUUGGAUUUGUGGCGCGGCCGUCCGGCGGGGCUCCUUCAUUGGGGCCGUUUGUCUGGUUUUUCGGCCGCACCAUUCUCGGGUAGUGUGUCGCUGGCAUUAGGUUGUCGGCUUCUUCACGCCCGUCGUUUACUGUGAAAAAAUUAGAGUGUUCAAAGCAGGCUUAGGCCGUUGGAUACAUUAGCAUGGAAUAAUGAGAUAGGGCCACGACGGUCUAUUUUGUUGGUUUGCACGUUGUGGUAAUGAUUAACAGGAACGGUUGGGGGUAUUCGUAUUCAAUUGUCAGAGGUGAAAUUCUUGGAUUUAUGGAAGACGAACUACUGCGAAAGCAUUUACCAAGGAUGUUUUCAUUG